rnacentral:rRNA from 1 species
UGCAGCGACGCCGCGUGAGGGAUGACGGCCUUCGGGUUGUAAACCUCUUUCAGCAGGGAAGAAGCGAGAGUGACGGUACCUGCAGAAGAAGCGCCGGCUAACUACGUGCCAGCAGCCGCGGUAAUACGUAGGGCGCAAGCGUUGUCCGGAAUUAUUGGGCGUAAAGAGCUCGUAGGCGGCUUGUCGCGUCGGAUGUGAAAGCCCGGGGCUUAACCCCGGGUCUGCAUUCGAUACGGGCAGGCUAGAGUUCGGUAGGGGAGAUCGGAAUUCCUGGUGUAGCGGUGAAAUGCGCAGAUAUCAGGAGGAACACCGGUGGCGAAGGCGGAUCUCUGGGCCGAUACUGACGCUGAGGAGCGAAAGCGUGGGGAGCGAACAGGAUUAGAUACCCUGGUAGUCCACGCCGUAAACGUUGGGAACUAGGUGUGGGCGACAUUCCACGUCGUCCGUGCCGCAGCUAACGCAUUAAGUUCCCCGCCUGGGGAGUACGGCCGCAAGGCUAAAACUCAAAGGAAUUGACGGGGGCCCGCACAAGCAGCGGAGCAUGUGGCUUAAUUCGACGCAACGCGAAGAACCUUACCAAGGCUUGACAUACACCGGAACGUCUGGAGACAGGCGCCCCCUUGU